rnacentral:rRNA from 1 species
GUAGGUGGCAAGCGUUGUCCGGAAUUAUUGGGCGUAAAGCGCGCGCAGGCGGUUCUUUAAGUCUGAUGUGAAAGCCCACGGCUCAACCGUGGAGGGUCAUUGGAAACUGGGGGACUUGAGUACAGAAGAGAAGAGUGGAAUUCCACGUGUAGCGGUGAAAUGCGUAGAGAUGUGGAGGAACACCAGUGGCGAAGGCGACUCUUUGGUCUGUAACUGACGCUGAGGCGCGAAAGCGUGGGGAGCAAACAGGAUUAGAUACCCUGGUAGUCCACGCUGUAAACGAUGAGUGCUAAGUGUUAGAGGGUUUCCGCCCUUUAGUGCUGCAGCUAACGCAUUAAGCACUCCGCCUGGGGAGUACGGCCGCAAGGCUG